CGGAUUGUAGUCUGCAACCCGGCUACAUGAAGCUGGAAUCGCUAGUAAUCGCAGAUCAGAAUGCUGCGGUGAAUACGUUCCCGGGUCUUGUACACACCGCCCGUCACACCAUGGGAGUCGGAAAUGCCCGAAGUCGGUGACCCAACCGUUUACGGAGGGAGCUGCCGAAGGCAGGUCUGGUGACUGGGGUGAAGUCGUAACAAGGUAAC
rnacentral:rRNA from 1 species